GAUGAACGCUGGCGGCGUGCCUAAUACAUGCAAGUCGAGCGAACGGACGAGAAGCUUGCGUCUCUGAUGUUAGCGGCGGACGGGUGAGUAACACGUGGAUAACCUACCUAUAAGACUGGGAUAACUGCGGGAAACCGGAGCUAAUACCGGAAAAUAUUUUGAACCGCAUGGUUCAAAAGUGAAAGAGGGUUUUGCUGUCACUUAGAGAUGGAUCCGCGCUGCAUUAGCUAGGUGGUAAGGUAACGGCUUACCAAGGCAACGAUGCAUAGCCGACCUGAGAGGGUGAUCGGCCACACUGGAACUGAGCCACGGUCCAGACUCCUACGGGAGGCAGCAGUAGGGAAUCUUCCGCAAUGGGCGAAAGCCUGACGGAGCAACGCCGCGUGAGUGAUGAAGGUCUUCGGAUCGUAAAACUCUGUUAUUAGGGAAGAACAUAUGUGUAAGUAACUGUGCACAUCUUGACGGUACCUAAUCAGAAAGCCCCGGCUAACUACGUG
rnacentral:rRNA from 1 species